UACGAAGGGGGCUAGCGUUGCUCGGAAUCACUGGGCGUAAAGGGCGCGUAGGCGGCCGAUUAAGUCGGGGGUGAAAGCCUGUGGCUCAACCACAGAAUUGCCUUCGAUACUGGUUGGCUUGAGACCGGAAGAGGACAGGCGGAACGUGCGAGUGUAGAGGUGAAAUUCGUAGAUAUUCGCAAAGAACACCAGUGGCGAAGGCGGCUGUCUGGUCCGGUUCUGACGCUGAGGCGGCGAAAAGCGUUGGGGAGCAAACAGG
rnacentral:rRNA from 1 species